UAUGAUAUUCUCUUACGAUAUAGUAAAAAAGGCAAAUGGCAAACAUAUGCUGAAAUUAAUUGAUUAUCGUUUUGGCGUACAUGUUAAAGAUAGCACGGAGUACCAUUAUGCAAAUCUGUAUAACGGUGAUGAAAGAAAGACUGAACUAGUGAACAGAUUUCUUAAUAAGAAUUGGACAAUAAUCACAAGAGUUUAUGGUUCAGAAUUUUACGAUAUAAUUUACAACAAAAUAUUUAAAGCUUUAAAGAAGUACUUCAGGUCUAAGGACUUAGAAGAUGUAAUUUCAUUGGAAUAAUAAUCGCUUCUCAAAUUUGAGUUAUAUUUUACUUAGAAGAAUUCUUAUUAUUUCAAGGCUUUACUAGGCCUAAUCUGUGAUUGCAAUCGUUUAUUCGAUAAAAAGUACUAGAAUGUGCGUAUAUUUAGCGUAUUUCAUUUAAUUUACUUUAUUUACGAGUAAUGUGUAUAAUAUGUACUUUAAAUUUUUAAAAAAAUGUAUUAAAGGAAAAAUGAAAUCAGUUUAUUUGUUCGUACAAUUAAUUAUAUUAAAUCAAAAAUCACACGUGUUUUGUCACACAUGUACAGUGUGUCAUACUAUCAUUAGUUUUUAAGUUAUAAAAUCGUUACUAACACUUGUAUAGAUGUUAAUCUGAAUUCAUUAUUAUUAUUAAAUAUGCAUUUUC